AACGAACGCUGGCGGCGUGCUUAACACAUGCAAGUCGAACGGCAAGGCCCUGCUUUCUUGGGGUUCUGGAUUGGCAAUCGCGUAAGUAACACGUAUGUAACCUGCCCUUCUCUUUGGUAUAGCUUCAGGAAACUGGGCCUAAUCCCGUAUAGCAUCUCCUGCUCCAUGGUGGGGGUUGGAUAGUUUCGGCGGUUGGGGAUGGAUGCGCGGCUUAUGAGCUUGUUGGUGGGGUAGUGGCUUACCAAGGCUUUGACGGGUAGCCGGCCUGAGAGGGUGACCGGCCACAUGGGGACUGAGAGACGGCCCAGACUCCUACGGGAGGCAGCAGGGGGGAAUAUUGCACAAUGGGCGGAAGCCUGAUGCAGCAACGCCGCGUGCGGGAUGACGGCCUGCGGGUUGUAAACAGCUUUAGCCUGUGACGAAGCGUGAGUGACGGUAAUGGGUAAAGAAGCACCGGCUAACUACGUG
rnacentral:rRNA from 1 species